UAUCCCUGCCAAAUUCAUACGAAGAAAUUGCCAGCGCCGCUCACAGAUACUAAUUCUACGUUCAUAUUUUCCCAGCACAGAUUAUCAUAAUUGUUUUCUUAUCUGAAGAGGCUUUUCAUUUUGUAUUCGUCAAAUUUUUUUAUAAUAUUCUGAUCUGAACGGAGUUUGAUAGACGAUUUCUUUCCAUUGAUUGAUUGAGGAUUUUUAAAAAUUUGAAUCGUGAAAUUGAAUGUUCUAAUGGAGU